CGAGCACUGCCUGUUCACCCCGCUAUCAUCCAGAAGGCGAGUAUGUGGUGCUAAGAAUGUUGGGAAGUCCACCUUCAACCGUCACCUCAUCAGUACCUUACUAAACCACACUGCAAGUGUAGAAUACCUGGAGUGUGACCUGGGCCAGACAGAGUUCACUCCCUCAGGUUGUUUCUCCCUGUCUACUGUCAGAGAGCCACUGCUGGGUCCCCCCCUUCACACACCAGUGGGCCCCAGAGCACAUGAUCUUCUAAGAAGAUGGCACCGAAGAACAUGGCUGAUGUUUUACAUUCUCCCAACCAAUUGUGCUAUUUUGUUUUUUUGAUGUUU